UACGUAGGGAGCAAGCGUUGUCCGGAAUCAUUGGGCGUAAAGCGCGCGUAGGUGGCUUCGUAAGUCCGUUGUGAAAGUCAAAGGCUCAACCUUUGAAAGCCGAUGGAUACUGCGGAGCUAGAGUACGGAAGAGGCGAGUGGAAUUCCUGGUGUAGCGGUGGAAUUCGCAGAUAUCAGGAGGAACACCAAUAGCGAAGGCAGCUCGCUGGGACGUUACUGACACUGAGGCGCGAAAGCGUGGGGAGCGAACAGG
rnacentral:rRNA from 1 species